GCAACUGUAGCUCAGCGCCCCAGAGCCCCGGUCUUGUAAACCGACCGUCGGGGGUUAAAAUCCCCCCACUUGCU
rnacentral:tRNA from 1 species